AGAACUAUUAGUCUAAACCAAAGACUUACAAGACUAACAGUGACAGAUUAACGGUGUUACAAAAAAUGAAACGUAAAUGUGUGCGUGAAAUAGAGUUGU